GGUUGCUUUUUGCUUUCUGUCUUAUUUUGUUUAUACCAUCUUAAAUUGUGUGAAUUUAAUGCCACUUUUGAUUGAUCACCUGAUUGACGAUGGAAAUAUGUGGCCUAGGAUGUUGAAGCCAAAGGGUUUAACCCGGGAUUGAUCGUCUUACUUCUAGUAGGCGGCCCGCUCUUGUUAUUCCUUGUUGGAAAUUAUGUACUCUACCUGUAUGCCCAGAAAACCGUUCCUCUGAAGAAGAAGAAGCCAAUCUCCAAGAAGAAAAUGAAGAAGGAAAGGCUGAAGCAAGGCGUUUCAGCACCAGGAGAAUAGAUUUUUGUUAGAAAGGGAUAGAAUGGGUUGUUUCCUUUCCAUGUUGAGCUGCAGUGUUGACAUUUCCGAUGUUGGAAACUUCAUAGAGAUUGUUACAAUGUUUUAGGACUCAUUCUCCCAUUAUGUUUCAUACAACUUAACUCGAUAAUUUAGAAAUCCUGUUGUUUUGCUAGCAGAUCGGAUGAAUGAAUGCUGUUUGUUUUGUUAUGUUAUCUGAUAUUGUGUCGAAGCUAUGUU
rnacentral:lncRNA from 1 species